UAAUAUCUGUACCAAUAAAACAGCUAUUAUAGGUAGUUAAUACCUGAAAUUUGAAUAUCAAAAUUGCUAUCGCUAUUUUUCAAAAUUAAUAGGAAAAUAUAAAUAAAAUAAAAUCCAGAUUUUCAAUAUUUCAUUGUUACCGCCAGCCAUACGCGCAGACGCGAGCAAAAGGUAUAUUCUAACCUCAAAUUUUGUCAAAAAAUAAAUAAUGAAGUGAUCUCAAACAUUUAGCCGAGUAUCAGUACUUAAACAGUUAAUACAUUAUUUGUAGAAUAUCAAUCAAAUUUACAUCAAUAACUUUAAGAUUGGCGGCGUACAUAAAAGGUACCAUCACCAUUUUUACAAUUACUUCAGACCAGAGCUUCAGACUUUAGCUAUUGUGUAAUUCUUCCCCUAAUGUUGAAAGAAAACUGUUUUUACGAUCUACAUGGUAUAUUUGAGCUCUAGUUAUUAUUAGCAGGUUUUAGAUAUUAACCGUAACAUAUAUUAUAGCUUUACUGUAAAUACUGAGCGUAGACAGCGAAGCAUUUCACUCUAGAAGUUGGAAAAUCAAUCAAAAGUGUGCAAUCAAAUUUGUUCUGAUAAGUUUGAUAAGAGCAAUAUUAUGAUCACCGAAUAAACUGGUUGCAAAUAAGACCAAAUGCUGAGCCUCAAAUAGAUACUACCAUUUUUGCUGGGGCCUUAUCAUGCAGCAUAGUAAGAUAAUUCUCAUUUUCUGAUCUUUCAAUAGUUGGAUAUUUAUUGGCUCAAGAAGUCCUAUCAGAAAAAGAAAGAAGUAUGUUAAUGAGGUAUAAUAAUGAUAUUAUGUAGAAAUUUAAGUCUCAUAAAAAUUUGGGAACAAAGAAAAUGAAAAAUACAUACUUUACAAAUGGGUCUAAGAAGAUUGAAAAAUAAAAUAACAUCAAUGCAUCAAUUAAUUGAUUACUUAAAAGAAAAAUCUUUGAUAAAUGAAUCAUCUGAAUUGACCAUAAAGGUAUAAAUAUAGUCUCAAAACAAUACUGAUGGUUACAAAGAAACUGAAGAAAAGGGAAGAUAGUAAUUUACUAGACAAAAGGCUGUUCUUUUGUAAUAUGGAGAUGGACAAAAUUCAAAGUAGUAGUAUUCAAAACAGAGAAGAACAUAAGCUAAAGAAAAAAAGGGUUGCUUGUAGACAUUGAAAUAAAAAGAACAGUGAAGUUCUUAAAGAGAACUUAUUUAAUAAUUUUAAUUAUUGUUUAUAUUGUAAUGUAAAAACUGUAAUGUAUGUUAUUUCUGAAUAAAAGACAUUUAAUAAUGAUA